rnacentral:lncRNA from 10 species
CACUGCUGAAUUAUUAUCAGGGGCUUGUGAUUCUGUGCCAAGCAAUGCCUGUGGAAUGGGUAAAUGUUUCAUAUGUCACUUUUUCAAACAUAUAUUGAUAAUGUCAUUAAUAAAAUAUAAACUCCUCACGUUAACCUCUGCUCUGCCUACACGUCUUCACUUCUGACACCAGACUUGGGGUUUUUUGCCCCCACAUCAAGAAAUUCUAUGCUUCUCAGUGGACACAGACUGGGCAUCCUGCACUGAUCCUGACACUCUGCCUGGAGGCAGCAUCAGAGCCCCCAGCUUCAGGGCUCAGUCCUGCGAGGGUACCUCUACCACAGACAGCAGCUGCAGGUCCGGCUGUCAUUGUGCCUCUGACCCACCCGGGCUGUAAAUCGGAGCUUCCCAUGAACCCCUC